AAAUUAAACAUACUGUGAAAAGGUGACCCUCCUGUGCUUCGGGGCAGACAAGACAUAAACAUGAGUCUGUAAUGAAAUCUGAAGGGAUAUAACACCAUUUUCUCAUUUAAAAAAAAUCAUGCUAUUAAAGAAUGUGGUUUAUCACAAAUGAAACAUUUUCUUUAUUUCGACAGAGUAAUAGACGAUGCUGGACAAGUUUAGCAAUGACAUUACAACUUUUAGUUUUUGUCAUUUUAAUGCAGGUUUUAACAAAGUAUGUUUUCUUCAUGCAAAGUCACUUUCUC